GAAAAAGAUAAUUGGAUGUCGAUUUUUAUCUUGGCUCUAUCGAUGUUGUGAUUUCAUUCCUUGACCACAAGCCUUCCUUGCUCGAGGAAGAAUCAGCUUCAAAUGGAUUUCUUUCAUUAUAAAGCUGCUUUGGCUGAGGCAGAGAAAUCUCACUCCCCAACAUUACAACCACUGCUGACAUAUCUGGCCUGUCCACUGGUAAUCGUUGCACACAUAAAAGACCCACUUGAAUGCACCGUAGCACUUGAGGUACAGAACAAGAGUAUCUUAACGAUGGAUCAAGUAAUUCUAUAGCCCUCUCUUCCAUCCACAGUCUCCAUGCAUGUCCAAUAAGGUUAAGGCCAUGAUCUGAAUGGGAAAAUCCUCGGUUUCUCCUUCCACUAAUUAUUUCUAGUAUCAAAACGCCAAAACUAAAAACAUCAGAUUUUACUGAGAAGAUUCCAUCCACUGCAUAUUCAGGUGACAUGUAACCAUAUGUUCCCACAACUCUUUUGGUAUUUGCUGCACUUUGAUCUUUCCCAAAUGUCCUAGCCAAGCCAAAAUCUGAAAUUUUUGGAUU
rnacentral:misc_RNA from 1 species